CCGCUAGGAAUCAUGGCAAGAUUUGUUGUUGCAGGCAAGGCAGAUUGCCCUCAUUAUGCAAAAGCAGAGCUUCUUGCAGACUUACUUCAGAGAAAGCUGCCCGACUUUUGUAUUCACAAAAUUUGUGUACAUCCAAAUGAAUGGAAGCAAUGGUUAGAGACGACUUGCCUCAGUAAUGGCUGGGACCAUGAACACUCUCCUUUGGUGUGGAGAGAACUUAUUCAUAGAGGGGGGAAAGGAAUGCUUCUGGGUGGUUUCAGUGACUUCAUGGAACAUAUACAGGGUUAUUAUAGAAUUACAUCAGAGAUGACAACAGACUUGAUGUUGAAAAUCGCAAAAGAAAACCUUCAAACAAAGGAGCAGUGUAUGCAGGAGGAAGCACACCGGCACAGCCUGCUUCAGCCUCUACACAUUUGGAUAAGCAGUGCCCUGCACCCAAUAUGCUACUACCUGAUCCCUCAGCUGUUUGACUCUGAAGUUUUCACCGAUGCUCCUCGAAUCAGCCUCCACCUCCUAGCUGCUGGAGGAAGUGAGGAGGCCUUGCAUGGAAUCAAAAUGGAGACUGAGGACCUCUCCUCUCCACAGUUACAUGAGAUCACUGUUCACAAUUUCUUGGAUGACCAUGUCUUUCACCAGGCUGAUUUUAUCAUCUUCCUUGAUGACUGGCAACCUGGGCAAGAAAAAGAGGGGCAGACGGAAGAAGUUGGUCAGGCAGUGAUGAAGACAGUGGCCAAGAAUUUCCAAAAUUAUGGAAAACUCAUUGAUUCAAGGGCACAUAAGAAUGUGCGGGUGGUGGUUGUUGGGGACUCUUUCAUCAAUCUGAAGUGUUCUUUACUUCUAGAGAAUGCACCCUCUGUGGACUCUGGUCACUUUGUUGCUAUGGGAACUCAGCUCGAGUAUGAGGCAAGGGCACAGAUAGCAAAGAAGCUCGGUGUCACGUCAGCAGAUGUGACAGAUGUCAUCAUAUGGGGAAAUAUCAGUGGCAGCUUGCAUGUGGAUCUUCAAAGAGCAAGGGUGUUCCGAUAUGAAGGUGCCAUCUGUGGACCUCCUAACUUUUCUCAGCCACUUUUGGAAAUGACAUAUAACAGAAAAAAUUUUGAGACUGAUAUUAUGAGCUUGCUGAGUUUACAUCGCUCCAUGGUAACCUCAAAGACUGAAAGAGCUGCAGCCAUGUCAGCAACAAAUGGGGUAUGCACCAUCCUGAAGGCCUGGAACAAUAAUUCUGCUCCUGAAGAGGUUUUCUCAUUGGGAAUAAUCAGCAGAGGUAAAGGCCACCAGUCACCACAUGAGAGUACAAUGUUCCUAAAGGCCUAGUGGUCUCAAUGCCUGUAGUCUUCAGUUGUGGACAGUGGUCUGUUGUACCCAACUUGGCUAUUUCUGAUGAACUGAGGAUCAGAAUUGAGGACUCGAUCAGUCAGCUGAAAACAGAGAAAGAAAACGCUGUAUGCAACUAAACAUUUGCUACCCUGGGGACACUUCCAUGAUGAGACCUUGAAUACCCUGCAGAACAGAGCUGGUUAAUGUUUUUAAUAAACAAGCUUAACAGAUUUCAGCUGAAUUGAAUUAUGUCUAGGUGAAAUGAUAAUGCCUACCACAUGCAUACUGUUGAAGUCAACCAGAAAACAAGAAAUGUUGGGCAUAAUACACCAGGAAAAGGCCCGUGGUUUAAACAAGAUGGCCUCCCUCCAUUUCUUCAUGUUACUAGACCCUUACACAAUCACGUGUACUUGAGGUCACAUGGCUAAAACCUGUCUGACAAAAACAAUAAUUACGUGUGUUGUAAAACAAACUAGCUGUUGUCAUUGUGGCAGCCCCAUCGCAUUACUUGAGUUCUUCAAUGACAUUUCAUUCGCCUAAAGCAGAGGUUACAUCUUGCUCUUAGUUUCUGGAAUAUUUUGGAAUGUUUCUUUAGAGUUUUCCCCAGCAGCGGGGAGCUGUAGCAAAAUAAAAACAUGUUCUCUAUUGAGCUGUUUUUACUGCAUUAAUCUCAAUGAUGUUAACUACAAGUUAACCUCAAGAUGGCCAACAUCAGAAAAAUAAUUAUGUUGUAACAUUUUUUGUUGAUGUUUUAGCUUGUAGGGCAUUUUUUGCAAGAUCUAAUUGGAUAUAUGUUAAAUCCCUAUUAAUGUGUCUCCUUUUUUUACUUUCCCAGAGUAAAACCACAUAGCCUCUAGCUGUUGUUUCCACAAUUUAUUUGCAUUUUGGAGAAUGGAUCCUGUCUCCUUCCCCUUUUGUUGAAUAAUUUACAUAGAUAGGCCUAGGUGUGUUAAUUGGUAAAUCACCUUCAGAAUAGUUGGGACAAAUGGAGUAGGCAGGCUAGUAGGUUUAAGCUUGAUUCUAAACUGAUUAACUUGUGGUUUGUAUGUUCAUGGUUAUUGUUAUUGUUCUGUCAAUUCAAUUUAGUCUAUGAAUUUAUUUGAAUUCAUUAUUAUUCAAGCCCUGUGACUGGUCAUUUUAAUGUUG